rnacentral:rRNA from 1 species
GAAUAUUGGACAAUGGGCGCAAGCCUGAUCCAGCCAUACCGCGUGGGUGAAGAAGGCCUUCGGGUUGUAAAGCCCUUUUGUUGGGAAAGAAAAGCAGUCGGCUAAUACCCGGUUGUUCUUACGGUACCCACAGACUAAGCACCGGCUCACUUCGUGCCAGCCGCCGCGGGAAUACGAAGGGUGCAAGCGUUACCCGGAAUUACGGGGCGUAAAGCGGGCGUAGGUGGUUGUUUAAGUCUGUUGUGAAAGCCCUGGGCUCAACCUGGGAAUUGCAGUGGAUACUGGGCGACUAGAGUGUGGUAGAGGGUAGUGGAAUUCCCGGUGUAGCAGUGAAAUGCGUAGAGAUCGGGAGGAACACCCAUGGCGAAGGCAGCUACCUGGACCAACACUGACACUGAGGCACGAAAGCGUGGGGAGCAAACAG